GAAAAAGCUAGUGGCUAGGGAUGUGUUGCCAAGAGAAACUACGCGAAAAAAAUGCAUCAUUUACAGAUUAAUCAACGUGAUUCCCUGAGCGUGAAUAUGAAAAAUUCGUUAAGCCCACAAAUUAGUGCACUGCAACACUUGUGAAAUGCAGCUCACCAAUUAAAAAGCAGUCGACAUAUUUGAUCCGAUCGACAACAACAACAAAAUUUAGCAUGCCAGAGGGAGGUUAGCAACAAACUUGGCGAUGCUUUUUUUUUCUUCAAAAAUUUCCGUUACUUGGGACCUGUUAGAAAUUAUUCCAAUUCAAAGGACUCGACAUUUCAACAACAACCGGUUCGCCUAAAGCAGGUACCUUCGGCUAUCUCCUUUUCCCCCCCAAAAACCUAAGGGAUGGUACAAAAUGGCCUUGUAUAAAACCUGUGAUCAGGCAGAGAAUUCAUUCAGUGUCAUACUUUUCCAACGCGAGCACGCUUCUAACAAAACUCCAGCAUUUUCAAUCACCGCGCGCAAAAAUGAAGGCAGCUAUUACCGCACUCGUUUUGAUGUUAGCGCUCUCUGCCAUCUCAUCAACAGAGGCACGACCUGAUCGGGAUGGUCUUUGGAAUGUCGUUUUUCGCCAAUCGAGGAACGAUCAAUGUGGACCGGUCCACGGGCCGUGUCAAGGCGGCUUAUGCUGCUCCCUGUACAACGAAUGUGGAAACUCAGUGGCGCAUUGUAAUGUCUCACUCGGUUGCAAAAACAAGUGGGGCGAUUGCCAUUAGGAGAUGACGCUGGGAUUUGGAAAAGAAAGAAAUAAUGCUUGUUACGAUCACCUAACGUAUUCCACCUGAUGAAAGCGUGUCCAGACUCUCUCGUUUUAAUUUACAUGUUCACCUGAUAUAUCUGUAAUGAGAAUAUGUGUACCUGAAGCUAAUGAGGUACGUUCAAUUCUUUAUUUACCGACAAAGAAGCAUGUGUGUCAAGCCGGUAUUGUAACUAGACAUGUGCAAAGAAUUUAUAAUAAAAUACUAUAUUGUUUGGAAAAAAA